rnacentral:rRNA from 1 species
CGGCGUGCCUAAUACAUGCAAGUCGAACGCAUUGUGGUUGAAAUGAUAUGAGAACUUGUUCAGAUUUGAUUUCAACAUUGCAGUGAGUGGCGAACGGGUGAGUAACACGUGGGAAACCUACCUCUUAGCAGGGAUAACAUUUGGAAACAAAUGCUAAUACCGUAUAAUAAUUAAAACCGCAUGGUUUUAGUUUAAAAGAUGGUCUUGCUAUCACUAAGAGAUGGUCCCGCGGUGUAUUAGUUAGUUGGUGAGGUAAUGGCUCACCCAAGACAAUGAUACAUAGCCGAGUUGAGAGACUGACCGGCCACAAUGGGACUGAGACACGGCCCAUACUCCUACGGGAGGCAGCAGUAGGGAAUCUUCCACAAUGGACGAAAGUCUGAUGGAGCAACGCCGCGUGUGUGAUGAAGGGUUUCGGCUCGUAAAACACUGUUGUAAGAGAAGAAUGACAUUGAGAGUAACUGUUCAAUGUGUGACGGUAUCUUACCAGAAAGGAACGGCUAAAUACGUG